UACAGAGGUGGCAAGCGUUGUUCGGAAUUACUGGGCGUAAAGGGCGCGUAGGCGGCCGUUCAAGUCGGGGGUGAAAGCCUGUGGCUCAACCACAGAAUUGCCUUCGAUACUGUUCGGCUCGAGACCGGAAGAGGUUGGUGGAACUGCGAGUGUAGAGGUGAAAUUCGUAGAUAUUCGCAAGAACACCAGUGGCGAAGGCGGCCAACUGGUCCGGUUCUGACGCUGAGGCGCGAAAGCGUGGGGAGCAAACAGG
rnacentral:rRNA from 1 species